AAAAAGUGCCUUAAAAAACUAC
rnacentral:rRNA from 5 species